UACGUAGGGUGCAAGCGUUAAUCGGAAUUACUGGGCGUAAAGCGUGCGCAGGCGGUUUGCUAAGACCGAUGUGAAAUCCCCGGGCUUAACCUGGGAACUGCAUUGGUGACUGGCAGGCUAGAGUAUGGCAGAGGGGGGUAGAAUUCCACGUGUAGCAGUGAAAUGCGUAGAGAUGUGGAGGAAUACCGAUGGCGAAGGUAGCCCCCUGGGCCAAUACUGACGCUCAUGCACGAAAGCGUGGGGAGCAAACAGG
rnacentral:rRNA from 1 species